UUAAAUUGAAGAGUUUGAUCAUGGCUCAGAUUGAACGCUGGCGGCAGGCCUAACACAUGCAAGUCGAACGGUAACAGGAAGCAGCUUGCUGCUUCGCUGACGAGUGGCGGACGGGUGAGUAAUGUCUGGGAAACUGCCUGAUGGAGGGGGAUAACUACUGGAAACGGUAGCUAAUACCGCAUAACGUCGCAAGACCAAAGAGGGGGACCUUCGGGCCUCUUGCCAUCGGAUGUGCCCAGAUGGGAUUAGCUUGUUGGUGGGGUAACGGCUCACCAAGGCGACGAUCCCUAGCUGGUCUGAGAGGAUGACCAGCCACACUGGAACUGAGACACGGUCCAGACUCCUACGGGAGGCAGCAGUGGGGAAUAUUGCACAAUGGGCGCAAGCCUGAUGCAGCCAUGCCGCGUGUAUGAAGAAGGCCUUCGGGUUGUAAAGUACUUUCAGCGGGGAGGAAGGGAGUAAAGUUAAUACCUUUGCUCAUUGACGUUACCCGCAGAAGAAGCACCGGCUAACUCCGUGCCAGCAGCCGCGGUAAUACGGAGGGUGCAAGCGUUAAUCGGAAUUACUGGGCGUAAAGCGCACGCAGGCGGUUUGUUAAGUCAGAUGUGAAAUCCCCGGGCUCAACCUGGGAACUGCAUCUGAUACUGGCAAGCUUGAGUCUCGUAGAGGGGGGUAGAAUUCCAGGUGUAGCGGUGAAAUGCGUAGAGAUCUGGAGGAAUACCGGUGGCGAAGGCGGCCCCCUGGACGAAGACUGACGCUCAGGUGCGAAAGCGUGGGGAGCAAACAGGAUUAGAUACCCUGGUAGUCCACGCCGUAAACGAUGUCGACUUGGAGGUUGUGCCCUUGAGGCGUGGCUUCCGGAGCUAACGCGUUAAGUCGACCGCCUGGGGAGUACGGCCGCAAGGUUAAAACUCAAAUGAAUUGACGGGGGCCCGCACAAGCGGUGGAGCAUGUGGUUUAAUUCGAUGCAACGCGAAGAACCUUACCUGGUCUUGACAUCCACGGAAGUUUUCAGAGAUGAGAAUGUGCCUUCGGGAACCGUGAGACAGGUGCUGCAUGGCUGUCGUCAGCUCGUGUUGUGAAAUGUUGGGUUAAGUCCCGCAACGAGCGCAACCCUUAUCCUUUGUUGCCAGCGGUCCGGCCGGGAACUCAAAGGAGACUGCCAGUGAUAAACUGGAGGAAGGUGGGGAUGACGUCAAGUCAUCAUGGCCCUUACGACCAGGGCUACACACGUGCUACAAUGGCGCAUACAAAGAGAAGCGACCUCGCGAGAGCAAGCGGACCUCAUAAAGUGCGUCGUAGUCCGGAUUGGAGUCUGCAACUCGACUCCAUGAAGUCGGAAUCGCUAGUAAUCGUGGAUCAGAAUGCCACGGUGAAUACGUUCCCGGGCCUUGUACACACCGCCCGUCACACCAUGGGAGUGGGUUGCAAAAGAAGUAGGUAGCUUAACCUUCGGGAGGGCGCUUACCACUUUGUGAUUCAUGACUGGGGUGAAGUCGUAACAAGGUAACCGUAGGGGAACCUGCGGUUGGAUCACCUCCUUA
rnacentral:rRNA from 1 species